UACGGGGGGGGCAAGCGUUGUUCGGAAUUACUGGGCGUAAAGGGUUUGUAGGUGGCUUGUUAAGUCAGACGUGAAAUCCCUCAGCUUAACUGGGGAACUGCGUCUGAUACUGGCGAGCUUGAGUGCAGGAGAGGAACGCGGAAUUCCAGGUGUAGCGGUGAAAUGCGUAGAUAUCGAGAGGAACACCAGUGGCGAAGGCGAGUCCCUGGACAACACCUGACACUGAGGCACGAAAGCCGGGGGAGCAAACAGG
rnacentral:rRNA from 1 species